UACGGAGGGUGCGAGCGUUGUUCGGAAUUACUGGGCGUAAAGCGCGUGUAGGCGGCCGAUUAAGUCUGGUGUGAAAGCCCGGGGCUCACCCCCGGAAGUGCGCUGGAAACUGGUCGGCUAGAGUAUGGGAGAGGAAAGUGGAAUUCCCGGUGGUAGCGGUGAAAUGCGUAGAUAUCGGGAGGAACACCAGCGGCGAAGGCGGCUUUCUGGGCUGUAACUGACCGCUGGAGGCGCGGAAAAGCGUGGGGGAGC
rnacentral:rRNA from 1 species